rnacentral:rRNA from 1 species
AUUGAACGCUGGCGGCAUGCUUACACAUGCAAGUCGAACGGUAACAGGUCUUCGGAUGCUGACGAGUGGCGAACGGGUGAGUAAUACAUCGGAACGUGCCCAGUCGUGGGGGAUAACGAAGCGAAAGCUUUGCUAAUACCGCAUACGAUCUACGGAUGAAAGCAGGGGAUCGCAAGACCUUGUGCUACUAGAGCGGCCGAUGGCAGAUUAGGUAGUUGGUGGGAUAAAAGCUUACCAAGCCGACGAUCUGUAGCUGGUCUGAGAGGACGAUCAGCCACACUGGGACUGAGACACGGCCCAGACUCCUACGGGAGGCAGCAGUGGGGAAUUUUGGACAAUGGGCGCAAGCCUGAUCCAGCAAUGCCGCGUGCAGGAUGAAGGCCUUCGGGUUGUAAACUGCUUUUGUACGGAACGAAAAGCCCUGGGUUAAUACCCUGGGGUCAUGACGGUACCGUAAGAAUAAGCACCGGCUAACUACGUGCCAGCCGCCGCGGUAA